UCCAGUCUGGUAAGACCUAGCAAGUCGCCAGUACCGAGUCCUUGGAGCGUCAAAGGCUAACGAUGAUGUUUAAGCGUAGGACAGGGAACAGGAACGCCGUAAUGCGAAAGCGUGAAGUGAUUGAGCUUCGUUAGAAUUAUCGAUUGUGUGGGGUGGUCUGCUACCUCUUCGGGUCACCAACAAGGAAUAAUCGUUAAAGCGAGAUUAUGAAAACACACCGGAGUCCGAGAGC
rnacentral:ncRNA from 1 species